UCUCCGUUAUCCGAAGCGGUUUCACUAGAGUGCCCGGCUUGACCCGAUGGCAACUAGGGAUAAGGGUUGCGCUCGUUGCGGGACUUAACCCAACAUCUCACGGCACGAGCUGACGACAGCCAUGCAGCACCUGUGUUACGGCUCCCUUUCGGGCACCUCCACAUCUCUGUGAAGUUCCGUACAUGUCGAGGGUAGGUAAGGUUUUUCGCGUUGCGUCGAAUUGAACCACAUCAUCCACCGCUUGUGCGGGCCCCCGUCAAUUCCUUUGAGUUUUAGCCUUGCGGCCGUACUCCCCAGGCGGGGUGCUUAAUGCGUUAGCUUCGGCACGGAGGGAGUUGACACCCCCCACACCUAGCACCCAUCGUUUACGGCGUGGACUAC
rnacentral:misc_RNA from 1 species